rnacentral:tRNA from 1 species
GGUUGUGGCUCAGUGGUAGAGCGUGUGCCUAGCAUGUGUGAGACACUGGGUUCGAUUCUCAGCACCA